CAGUCGCCGCGGUAAAACGGAGGGGGCUAGCGUUGUUCGGAAUUACUGGGCGUAAAGCGCACGUAGGCGGCUUGGUAAGUUAGAGGUGAAAGCCCGGAGCUCAACUCCGGAAUUGCCUUUAAGACUGCCGAGCUAGUAGGUGAGAGAGGUAAGUGGAAUUCCGAGUGUAGAGGUGAAAUUCGUAGAUAUUCGGAAGAACACCAGUGGCGAAGGCGGCUUACUGGCUCAUACUGGACGCUGAGGUGCGAAAGCGUGGGGAGCAAACAGGAUUAGAUACCCCAGUAGUCCCUGUCUCUUAUAC
rnacentral:rRNA from 1 species